rnacentral:lncRNA from 1 species
CCGGGUUCUAGCGAUGCGAGGCCGAGGCUCGGGGCGCUGAGUAGCCUAGCGCGUCGCCGAGGAGAGCUGGCACGUGAACCCCUUGUCGUUUGCCGUCAGAGGUGUUAUGUGGUGGCCCUCAUUCUCCAUGCAUGGAGCAGACUCUAGGAUCUGCAGUUACUGUAUGAUGAGCCCUUCUGAGUAUUUUGCUUGGGAAGAGAAGGAAUGGCUUUGAUGAGAUUCCAAGUACAGCACAAACAUCAGGCUGACCUGCAGGUUGGGCAAGGCAGGGUCAGAAGCAGCAGCGGAGCCUUGCUGGGACUCCCACUAUCAUCUAAACAACAACAUAGCAGCAGGACCUUUCACAGAGAGUUCCCAACCAUGGUGGACAGUUUAUGUGUCAGGUAUGUGUAUUUAUAAUUAAAAUCAAAUAUUAUUACAUAGGCUUUGCACCUGGCGAGGUAACAUUGAGAGUAGUUAAUCUCUACACUGGAAUCCAUCUGGAAGACCACUCAAUAACUUGUGAUUAGCUGGACCUGGUGGUGCAAGCCUGGAGUCCCAGUUACCCGGAGGCUGAGGUGGGAAUAUCGCUUGAGACCAGGAGUUUGAGGCUACAGCGAGCUGUGAUUGUACCACUGCACUCCAGCCUGGGUGACAGUGCAAGACCUCAUCUCUUAAAAAAAACAAACAAUUCAAAAAACCUCAUCAUUGAGCACCUAUGAUGUGCCAGCAACUGUACUCAGUGGUGGGGACUUGACGACAAACAAACCAGGGAUGGGAUCCUUGAGCAGUCACCAUCUGACAAGUGACUGGGAAAGAUGAAUAAAGCCCUUCACCAAGAUUCUUCUCUGAUCCACAAAUUCAAUUACCAAUUUAUUUGUUCACUGCUCUUAAACUUAAAUAUUUUUUAGUAGGUAAUAAAGACAUGUUUAAAC